GAUAUAUGCUCCGGUGUGGAAAACUAGCUAGUUUUUGUAAUCUUAAAAUGUAAGAGUUGGACUUACAGUUUUGCUUCUAGGCUAAACAAUUCUAGAGACUUGUAUAAGUUUCCAGUACAUUCAUACAGCAAGCUGUAUAUAUAGAGUCUUUGGUCAUGUUAUUGGUGUGGUGGUUGUGGUUGUGGUGAGGCUGCUGGUUUUGGAGAAGGCGCUUCUGGAAAGCAACUAACGACGACAAUGAGACCUGGAGGACCUGGAGGGCCUGGAGGGCCGCCUGGCCCUGGAGGUCCGCCUGGUUGGGGCCCUGCUCCGCCGCCUGGUCCGCCUGGCCCUAUCGGUCCGCCUGGACCUGGACUACCCGGUUUCUUUGGUGGCUUCUGUGAUGCUAUAGGUGCUUGUUUGAGUUUCUUCUGUUGCUGCUGGUUGCUGGGGGACUGCUUUGGUGGCCCAGGAGGGCCUCCUGGCCCCCCCUUAGGCCCACCUGGACCGCCACGUCCAUAGAUUGCCGGGCAGUUUGGUGACUAAUAUAUUUGGACGACUUGCUCCUGUUAUUAUCAAUUCUUACCUAUGUAUUUACUAUGUUAAAAGAACUGUGCUAGCUCGUCAACUAUUAUAUAAGAUAUUUCAAGUUCACUGCUAGCUCGUAAACUGUUAAAAGAACGUACUGUUGAUUAUUUCCAUUGUUUACUUUAA